AAAGCAGUCAACAGAUCCUGCUGAUAAGUGAGCACGUUAGUCGCAGUGGACUUAUCCUGUCAAAAGAAUAUGUGUGACAACCAGUUUGGGUUUUCUCAGGAUAAGUCCACUGCGACGACUUAUCCUGAGAAAACCCAAACUGGUUGUCACACAUAUUC